CCCGGGCGGAGCGGCCGUCGGUG
rnacentral:snRNA from 1 species